CUUCAUCACAGCGCCGCACCACGGCUGCGAGAUGACGCCGCGCCACGCCUACAUGAACCACAGCCUGGACCUCGACCCCGUGCCGCUGCAAGAGAUAUGCAUCGGCGGAGCGCGGGGAGGGGAGCGGGGCGAGGCGCGGG